AUGUUGCCAUCUUCAACCCGAACCCAGAGUCAUCAUUCUAUGGUAGCUUUAAACCUGACUGUUUUCAAGGCAAUCAUCAGCGACAUGAGAUUAAUCCAUGUUCACGUUUUCCUGAGUGCGCCCCUUGAAGAUGAGCAGAGCCUCCAAAACGCAGAUCUGCGGAACUACAGAGAAAUGAGAAGCGCUGGAAGAAAGGCGCUCUGCACAAGCCGAAGAAGGGCCUGUCCGCGGUCGCAAGAAGGAGGCCAGAAUUGCAGCAGACUCGGCGCUCCACGACUGGGCUGAUGGAGAAACAGGCGUGGAGAGGGGCCACAGGCCAGCGGCACCCUCUCCCUGUGCGCCGGUCAGAGGAAAAAGGCCUCUGGACCGACAGGCGUGGACAAGCGGCUGAGCGCCGCGGCUGCGGAGCAGACCAGGCGGGAAUUGCGGCCGCCAGCUCCCGGUCGGCGGGCGAGGCGCCUGCGCGAGCCCGUCACGUGGGUUGCUGGGCUUCGGGGUGAUUGGUUGGCCGACGAAGGGCCUUCGGCCCCGCGAAGCAGAAGUGGUGACAGAGGUCUCCCGGGAGAUAGGACUUUGAGGCCUAUAAAUGUGCAUCUUUUUCAUAUGCCUUACAUUGGAGGCCUAUAUUUUAGGCUUACUUACAAUUUAGGGUUAGGUCUCCCAGAAACUGUUAGUUUGCAGCCAAGUCCAUUUCAAGAAGAAAUUUAUUAAAUGAUGCAGUUAGAACGGUGCUGAAUCAAAAACACAAUUCAUACCUGAAAUAUCAGGUGUGGGCUUAAACUGGUUUCUGGUUUGCACCAAUCAGCUGCAAAAGGCAUUUUGAGAAACAGUAGGUAUAUUUCGGUGUAAACUGAAAAUUAGAUGUUGUUUGGGAAUUAUCGUUAGUUUUCUUAGGUAGCCAGGGCAGGGACCAAGGGGGGGAAGUAGUUUUAACUUUCAGAGACACAUGCUGAUGUAUUUAGCCAUCUAAUAAUGUUUGAAAUUUAUUUUAGAUUGUAUAAAUUUAAACUAAAUCAAGGAUAUGGGGCAAAAUGGAAGGAGAGGAACUGAUAGGGAAUAAACAAAAAAUAUUUAAGACCACAUGAACUGAAUGCAAUAGAUGGACCUUGCUUGAAUAAGGUUUUUUGCCUGGGAGAAAGCAUUACCACAGUCAGGGAAAUUUGAACAUUGACUUUUUAUUGUACAACGUUUUUCUUUGGCUGGGCCCCAGCAUGCAGAAUUUCCCAGGCCAGGGAUCAAAACCUGAACCAUAGCAGCCACCUGAGCCACGGCAGUGAUGAAAUUAAAUUCCCAACUGCUAGGCCACCAGAAAACUCCUUAUUAUACAAUAUUGAAAAGUCAUUUUAUCAGGGGUAAUAAAGUUUCUGAGUUAUGUCCUUAAACAUACAUAACUAAGAUAGAUAUCAGAUAGAUAUGUGGAAGUUAUUUUUUUGUCUUUUUGUUUUUGGGGGGACUGCACCCAUGGCAUAUGGAGGUUCCCAGGCUAGGGGCUGAAUCAGAGCUGUGGCUGCUGGCCUAUGCCACGGCCACAGCAAUGCCAGAUCCAAGCUGUGUCUUCAACCUACAGCACAGCUCACGGCAACGGAAUCCUUAACCCACUGAGGGAGGCCAGGCAUCAACCCUGCGUCCUCAUGGAUACUAGUCAGAUUCAUUUCCGCUGAGCCACGACAGAAACUCCAGCUAAGUGGAAGAAUUUAUCAUUAAAAAUGCUAUCUGGCAUUUGCUUUAAACUAGUCCAGGUAAAAUGUUGGUGGGGGAAUAGAUGAAACAAGCUUACCAGUAUUAUAACUGCUAAAGCAGAGAAAUAAAUACAUAGGCAGGCUUAUUACACUAUUCUUUUUCUUUUUCUUUUUUCACAUUAGUUGAUUUAUGGUGUCCUGUCAAUUUCUGCCAUACAGGAAAAUGACCCAGUUAUACAUAUGUAUACAUUCUUUUUCUCACAUUAUCUUCUAUCAUGUUCUAUCACAAGUGAUUGGAUAUAGUUCACUGUGCUAUAGAGUAGGACCUCAUUGCUUAUCCAUUCUAAAUGUAAUAGAUUGCUUCUAUUAACCCCAAACUCCCCGUCUGACUCCCUCCCCCUCCCCAUUGGCAACCACAAGUCUGUUCUCUAUGUCCACGAGUUUUUGUUCUGUAAAUAGGUUCAUUUGCGCCAUAUAUUAGUUUCCACAUUUAAGUGAUAUCAUAUGAUAUUUGCUUUUCUCUUUCUGGCUUACUUCACUUAGUAUGAGAAUUUCUAGUUCCAUCCAUGUUGCUACAAAUGGCAUUAUUUUGUUCUUUUUUAUGACUGAGUAGUAUUCCACUGUGUAUAUAUACCACAUCUUCUUAAUUCAUUCAUCUGU
rnacentral:lncRNA from 1 species